GCCGGGUGUGGUGGCGCACGCCUUUAAUCCCAGCACUCAGGAGGCAGAGGCAGGUGGAUUUCUGAGUUCGAGGCCAGCCUGGUCUACAAAGUGAGUUCCAGAACAGCCAGGGCUAUACAGAGAAACCCUGUCUCGGAGAAAAAAAAAAAGAAAAAGAAAAAAAGAAAAGAAAGGAAAGAAAGAAAAUAAGAUUUCUCUCUGUAACCUUGGCUGUCCUGGAACUUACUCUAUAGACCAAACUGGUCCUGAAUUAAGAGGUCUGUUUGCCU
rnacentral:lncRNA from 1 species